AGCCACCUGUCUGGGUCAGUCUGAAGGACGACACAAUUGGAAAUCCUACUGGGACACUGAGCUCUCAUCAGCAGCCAGAGACCCUAAAGAAAUGAUAGAUUUUCCCCGUCCUGGGCUCCAGUCGCAGUUCACAUCAUGUCACCCUUUGGAAAUGGUGCUUCCCCCAGCCCAGCUGUGUCAGGACACCACAGCCUUGACCAGAACUACUCAGCUAUCRCAUGUUAACCUGGACUCAGUUCCAUCCUCAGUGAGUGGCUGUGUUUCUGACCAUCCUAUGCCUCCAUGUAUCUCUGCCCUGAUGAUGUCCUUCUGAUCUCCAAACCAUCAGAACGAUGCGACUAAUAAGAAAGAUUGCUUCCCAGGUUGCCUGGAUCAACACAGCCUUGUCCACAGCACUGGUGAGCUUGCAUUGAAAAGAUAUUUCUUCUAAAUUGAUAAGGUUGUUG
rnacentral:lncRNA from 1 species